rnacentral:lncRNA from 1 species
UUUGGCUGCUUCUUGCCCAAAAUGUAUCUUUGUCUCCAGGAUUAAAUUCUGGGAGGACAGAUAGAUAGAGGUAAAGAAGAAUCUUCUCCAUUUUGUGUUUGGUGAACAUGCCCUCUUGGGCAUCUGGAGGGAAAUUUAGAAGAGUGGUUCUUUAUUUUCUCCCUCAUGUAUUUAGAACUCAGUGGCUCCUAAAGAGAAUUCAGGCAUUUGGUCUGUAGUGCUAUUAGAUGAUUUUAAAGGUAUUUCAAACUCUGAAAUUUUAAGCCAAACAAAAAUUGCUUUUCUUUAAUAAAAUAUUCUCAGUAUCCACACCUAGAUCAACAUCACAAUGGCGGUUAGUAUCACAGGGCUGCCGGACUUGGACUUUUAUCCUGAUAUCAGUGUUCUUUUCUUGCUAUCUUGCCCUAGAAAUUUUGAUUUCUGCCUCAAUCCAGUAAUACUCAGUUUAAAAUACUAUAGUAUUUGAAUUUGUUCAGUAAUCUGAAUUUUAGUUUGCAGUCUUGGAAAGAAAAUCACAAAUAGUUUAAACAAGCCGUGAGAAAUCAAUGUAUUCUUUUUUCUUUUUUUUGAACACCAAUUCAAGUUAUGUGUUAAUUCCUUGGAAGAUUCUGGGUGCCAACUUUUACUGAAUUUUCAUAUUGUUGGCGCUCUCUGUAAAGAUAGGCUAAUCAUAUACGCCUUGAUUCUCUUUCCCCUUUUAUUUUCAAAUCUUCAUUUCCUUUCACAGGUGCUUUUGAAAUCCAGGUAAUUGAAGAGCUUCACAAGGUUUGGAAGGGACAAGAAUCUGGUCAUGUGGCUGGACCCAAGGGGAGAACCCUUUUGGACAAAGUCUCCUUCAGACCAUUUUCCCCAUUGAAAGCCUGUGUUGCAUCUUCAUUGUUGUUGUUAGUGCCAUUGAGUCAAUUCCAACUUCUAGUGACCCUGCGGACAGCAGAGUGGAACCCUGCCUGAUCUUUUUCUGCCAUCCUUUCACCGUCUGGUCCUCUAUCAGGUAAUGCUCUGCUGCUAUUCACAGGGUUUUCAUGGCCAAUUUUUUCAGAAGUGGGUGGCUAGGUCCUUCUUGGUCUCUCUUAGUCUGGAAGCUCUGCUGAAACCUGUCCACCAUGGGUGACCCUGCUGAUAUUUGAAAUACUAGACACAGUUUUUAGCAUCACAGCAACAUGCAGCCACAGUAUGACAACUGACAGAGGGUUGUGGUUCUCUAACAGGGGUAUGAACUCCAGCUGUGAUGGUGAGAGCCCAGAAUCUUAACUGCUAGACCAUCAGGGCUGGCUGUUGCCCCUUUAGCCAGACUUAUUCCUUCCUCUAUUUUAGUGGGAGCAUAAGGAUGACUUAAGUAGGGAUAAAGAGGAGCCUUCUCUAAGCUUUAUAGUUCCCAGAAGAUGGGGCUUGACAUGUGCCCCAUAGGCAUGAAGCUCGUGAGACUCUGAAAUGACCCUUUGCAGAGGGCUAGUAUGUUUUCUAGAUGUGGCUGUGGCUGAACCUGGAUUAAAUUUGGUCCUUGGAACAUAGCACGUCCUUAGUUUGACCUAAGCCACAGGUAGGUCUCCCUUUUGUGGGCCAAUUAGAAACAAUCGCCUGUCCCCCACAAGCAUGAUGUUGUCAUGAGUUUACCCCACUAACAAUACUGUGGGAAG